CGCGCAAAUUACCCAAUCCAGACAUUGGGAGGUAGCGACGAGAAAUAUCAAGCUGAGGCCAUUGGCUUCAGCAUUGAAAUGAACGUAAUGUAAAUACUUUGAUGAGUAACAACUGGAGGGCAAGUCUGGUGCCAGCAGCCGCGGUAAUUCCAGCUCCAGUAGUGUAUAUCAAAAUUGUUGCGUUUAAAACGCUCGUAGUCGGAUGACAAGAACGUCCUCAAUUACCGGUUUAGCCGAGUGGUUGAGGGUGUUUUUUAUUCGCAAGCACUGGUUGUGGGCUUUAAUGCUUGUGGCCAGUCACUUGCGAGGCGUGCCUUGAAUAAAGCAGAGUGCUCAAAGCAAGCGUAACGCUAGAAUGUAAUAGCAUGGAACGAACAGUGUUGAUUUCUGGCUGAGUUGGUCGGUGUGGCAAAGGCUUAGUUUGAUUUGUGGCAACACAAGUUGAACGGCUUUUGCUACCGACGGUCGUUUGAAUCGCAAGAUUUAAACGAUCGCCGGACUCAGCUGGGUCCUGGUUAAAAGGGACAUUUGAGGGCGUUAGUACUUGAUGGCGAGAGGUGAAAUUCUUAGACCCAUCAAAGACUGACUAGUGCGAAAGCAUUCGCCAAGAGUGUUUUCAUUGAUCAAGAACGAAAGUUGGAGGUUCGAAGACGAUCAGAUACCGUCCUAGUUCCAUACAGUAAACGAUGCCAACACGGAAUCAGUCCGAAAAGGAUUCAGGUUGGUUCCCCAGUGAAAACUCAAGUUUUCGGGUUACGGGGAGAGUACGAUCGCAAGGUAGAAAUUUAAAAGAAUUGACGGAAGGGCACCACAAGGAGUGGAGCCUGCGGCUUAAUUUGACUCAACACGGGGCAACUCACCAGGUCCGGACAUUGAAAGGAUUGACAGACUGAUAGAUCUUUCAUGAUUUAAUGAUUGGUGGUGCAUGGCCGUUCUUAGUUGGUGGAGUGAUCUGUCAGGUUUAUUCCGGUAACGAGCGAGACCACGGUGUCUAGUUAAUGGCAGGUUGGUUGUCGUUUGRUGACCAUCCUGAUUCUAGACAGACAACCGGAUUGAAGCCGGGGGAAGCGUGGCAAUAACAGGUCUGUGAUGCCCUUCGAUGUUCUGGGCUGCACGCGCGCUACAAUGGCAACGACAGAAAGCUUAGUUGUGUCGAGAGACCCGACGAACCAGUAAUCGUUGUCGUGAUUGGGAUUGAGCCUUGUAAUAUUUGCUCAUGAAAGAGGAAUUCCUCGUAAGCGCGAGUCACCAACUCGUGUUGAAUACGUCUCUGCCCUUUGUACACACCGCCCGUCG
rnacentral:rRNA from 1 species